CUGGGUUUUCCCAUGAGAGAAUGGAUCCCAGAGGGGAGGCGGCAGUGGCUGCAUCUGAGCCCAUGCUGCCCGGAUUGCUUGUGUGGUGUCCGCCGCUGCCUCCUGUCCCUCUUCAUGAGGAUGUUCCAGUGAGAUACCCCCAGCCCAC